GUGGAGAUCUCUGCAGUAAGUACUGCCUAUCAGAGUCGUCCCACCAUGGGCUGUGAUGGCCAGGUGUUUCUAGCCUUAUCUUAGUCACUAGAUCCAGGCUGCCCUGGGGAGGCAUGACCUCAGGCUCUCUCAAACUGAGGCAGACUAUGACAGAGCUGACAGCUGGGAGCUAUCUGGUGGCCUCACUCCCCACACCUGGGCAGCGAGUCCUUCCUUGAGGGAGGAUCUACGCAGCACAUCUUUGAGUCUACAAAAAAAGCAAUUUAACAUUCAUUCAGUCAACAAACAUUACUUCCUAUUAUUAUCUGCUAAGCACUAUUCUAGGUGCUGCAGAUGCAGCCACGUAAGAGACAAGCAGUGCUCUCAUACGGCACUGUAUGACUUAACAGACUAUUCACCUAGAGAUCAGGUUGACAUCACCUUAUAAAACUUGAGGAUUCUGGCCAGGGACGGUGGCUCAUGCCUGUAAUCCCAGCACUUUGGGAGGUUGAGGCGGGUGGAUAACCUGAGGUCAGGAGUUUGAGACCAGCCUGGCCAACAUGGUUAAACCCUCAUCUCUACUAAAAAAAUACAAAAAUUAACUGGACGUGGUGGUGCAUGCCUGUAGCCCCAGCUACCGGGGAGGCUGAGGCAAGAGAAUCACUUGAACCCAGGAGGCAGAGGUUGCAGUG
rnacentral:lncRNA from 1 species